GGAGUAAAAUACUGAACAGGGCAGACAAAGUCCCUGGCGUCCUGGGGCUUCCAUUCUGACUGGGAAGACAGCAAGAGGGCACUUAGAGUUCGAAGACCAUGGCUGCAGGUGUCUCUCUCACUUAGUCACAGCAGCAGGACACCACACAGCUCACCACACAGCAGGACAAUGAGGAGGAUCUUAGAGCACCUGGGAUGACCGCUUCCUUUGGCAGGGUCGGGACUCAGACAAGAGCCGCCCGGCAUCUGGUUAAGUCUCUACAGACUCUCGGUGGAACGUGAUCAGC